rnacentral:rRNA from 1 species
GAUGAACGCUGGCGGCGUGCCUAAUACAUGCAAGUCGAGCGAACGGACGAGAAGCUUGCUUCUCUGAUGUUAGCGGCGGACGGGUGAGUAACACGUGGAUAACCUACCUAUAAGACUGGGAUAACUUCGGGAAACCGUAGCUAAUACCGGAUAAUAUUUUGAACCGCAUGGUUCAAAAGUGAAAGACGGUCUUGCUGUCACUUAUAGAUGGAUCCGCGCUGCAUUAGCUAGUUGGUAAGGUAACGGCUUACCAAGGCAACGAUGCAUAGCCGACCUGAGAGGGUGAUCGGCCACACUGGAACUGAGACACGGUCCAGACUCCUACGGGAGGCAGCAGUAGGGUAUCUUCCGCAAUGGGCAAAAGCCUGACGGAGCAACGCCGCGUGAGUGAUGAAGGUCUUCGGAUCGUAAAACUCUGUUAUGAGGGAAGAACAUAUGUGUAAGUAACUGUGCACAUCUUGACGGUACCUAAUCAGAAAGCCACGGCUAACUACGUG